UACGUAGGGCGCAAGCGUUGUCCGGAAUUAUUGGGCGUAAAGAGCUCGUAGGCGGUUUGUUGCGUCGGCUGUGAAAUCCCGAGGCUCAACCUCGGGUCUGCAGUCGAUACGAGCAAACUAGAGUGUUGCAGGGGAGACUGGAAUUCCUGGUGUAGCGGUGAAAUGCGCAGAUAUCAGGAGGAAUACCGAUGGCGAAGGCAGGUCUCUGGGCUGACACUGACGCUCAUGCACGAAAGCGUGGGGAGCAAACAGG
rnacentral:rRNA from 1 species